GACGUAGGAUGCAAGCGUUGUCCGGAUUUAUUGGGCGUAAAGAGUUCGUAGGCGGUUCGUUAAGUCUGAUGUUAAAGAUCGGGGCCCAACCCUGAGAGUGCAUUGGAUACUGGCGAACUGGAGUGCAGUAGAGGCGAGUGGAAUUCCCAGUGUAGCGGUGAAAUGCGUAGAUAUUGGGAAGAACACCGGUGGCGUAGGCGACUCGCUGGGCUGUAACUGACGCUGAGGAGCGAAAGCGUGGGGAGCGAACAGG
rnacentral:rRNA from 1 species